rnacentral:misc_RNA from 1 species
GAUGAAGAACGCAGCGAAAUGCGAUAAGUAAUGUGAAUUGCAGAAUUCAGUGAAUCAUCGAAUCUUUGAACGCACCUUGCGCCCUUUGGCUAUUCCGAAGGGCAUGCCUGUUUGAGUAUCAUGAACACCUCAACUCUCAUGGUUCGCCAUGAUGAGCUUGGACUCUGGGGGUCUUGCUGGCCUAUGGUCAGCUCCUCUCAAAUAAAUCAGCUUGCCAGUGUUUGGUGGCAUCACAGGUGUGAUAACUAUCUACGCUUGUGGUUUUCCAUCAGGUAACCUUCAGUGAUGGAGGUUCGCUGGAGCUCAUAAAUGUCCCUCCUCAGCGAGGACAGCUUUUUGAACGUUUGAUCUCAAAUCAGGUAGGACUACCCGCUGAACUUAAGCAUAUCAAUAAGGGAGGA